rnacentral:misc_RNA from 1 species
UUUAAUUUGAGGAAGAUACGUUAGCCUUCUCGUGGCUUUCGCUGAUUAAUAAGUUCAUGAAGGAGUAAGAAUAUUUUAAUCCCUGAAAUUGUAGCCAAUAUUUGAUUGAAUCAUGAAACUAAUAUAUGCUAUCAAGUUUUGAAUUUGCCAUUAUUAUGCAGCUAAGUCCUUCCAUCAGUAAAUUGACCAAAUUACUCCUAUCUCUGCAUGAGACAUGUCCAAAGAAUUCAAUUAUUAACUUUCUUAUCUUCAACAUUAGGAUAAUUGUCAAUUGAUGUAUUAUUUCUGACAUAAUUUUAUCUCACACAAAAAUAAAAUAGGAUUUGAUUGGCCUUUUAUUUUAUUAUUUUUAAGUUCAAAUAUUUGCUCUAAGGUUGUGGAUGAUAAGUGCCUUAUAGUUAAAUUUUAAACUAUAAUAUAUUGCCG